GGGGUAAGGGCUUGAGACCUGUGGCCCCUCUGCCUGGAAAUGCUCUCCCCUCCCUGCUUCCCAUGACUGGAUCUUUUAAAACUUUCAGCUGACAGCUUGAACGUCACCUUCUCAGGGAAUCCUCUUCCUCCCACCUCUGAUGGACUGACCUGAGCCUCCACUUCUGUCAGGAACUGCUUCCCCCAGUUCCUCCGCUUCAUCCCAAACCUCCCAUCGAGACCCAGUCCUACCCAGGAUUUAUGAGGAUGGUGAAGAGUGGAGAGCGGUUCCCGGGAAAGGAUUUAGCAUGAGUAAAAUCAAGGAGGGGUUGAAGAACUGUCAAGAGAUG
rnacentral:lncRNA from 13 species